AACCUAGCACACCUGCGGUGUGUACCUGCGGAAGGAUCAUUACAGAGAUUGAUGCACCAAGUGCAUCACCUCCAACCCCUUGCGAAAACAACUAUCAUGUGUUGCUUUGGCAGUGUUUCCACUGCCAGAGGUUUACAUAAAAUCAGCUGUUUGGAUGUUGUCUGAGUAAACUAUAUGAAUUAUUUAAAACUUUCAACAAUGGAUCU
rnacentral:misc_RNA from 1 species